GCCCCUUAUCAUUUCAUUCCCUACAAGAGUAUCUGCGCAGAUAUCCAAUCCUAAUAUCUUCAAAACAUAAUCUGUGACGACACUGGUCUCCUGACCUUCUGUUGCUGCUGCGCUGCCUUCAUGAAGACAUCAAGAUCGGGGUCAGGCUUAAUAUUUGCUGCCUUUUCUCUUCUCGACAAUUCUGCCAACAUUUCAUGUUGGGUUCCAACUCCUUGGCAUCUGGCUGA
rnacentral:misc_RNA from 1 species